rnacentral:rRNA from 1 species
CACGAACGCUGGCGGCGUGCCUAAUACAUGCAAGUCGAGCGCAGGAAACUGACGGAACUCUUCGGAGGGAAGGCAGUGGAAUGAGCGGCGGACGGGUGAGUAACACGUAAGGAACCUGCCUCAAGGAUUGGGAUAACUCCGAGAAAUCGGAGCUAAUACCGGAUAGUUCAACGGACCGCAGGGUCCGUGGAUAAAAGGCGCUCGGGCGUCACCUAGAGAUGGCCUUGCGGUGCAUUAGCUAGUUGGUGGGGUAACGGCCCACCAAGGCGACGAUGCAUAGCCGACCUGAGAGGGUGAUCGGCCACACUGGGACUGAGACACGGCCCAGACUCCUACGGGAGGCAGCAGUAGGGAAUCUUCCACAAUGGACGAAAGUCUGAUGGAGCAACGCCGCGUGAGUGAUGAAGGUUUUCGGAUCGUAAAACUCUGUUGUAAGGGAAGAACACGUACGAGAGGGAAUGCUCGUACCUUGACGGUACCUUACGAGAAAGCCACGGCUAACUACGUGCCAGCCGCCGCGGUAACAC